rnacentral:tRNA from 1 species
GCCUCCCCCUGGCGGGUGUUGCGGGCCGCGCUGCCGGCGAGGCUCGGCCGGGUGUUCUCCAGGUCGCGGUCCAGUUCCGCGAGGCGGCG